rnacentral:rRNA from 1 species
AUUGAACGCUGGCGGCAGGCUUAACACAUGCAAGUCGAGCGGGGUGAUGGUGCUUGCACUAUCACUUAGCGGCGGACGGGUGAGUAAUGCUUAGGAAUCUGCCUAUUAGUGGGGGACAACAUCUCGAAAGGGAUGCUAAUACCGCAUACGUCCUACGGGAGAAAGCAGGGGAUCACUUGUGACCUUGCGCUAAUAGAUGAGCCUAAGUCGGGUUAGCUAGUUGGUGGGGUAAAGGCCUACCAAGGCGACGAUCUGUAGCGGGUCUGAGAGGAUGAUCCGCCACACUGGGACUGAGACACGGCCCAGACUCCUACGGGAGGCAGCAGUGGGGAAUAUUGGACAAUGGGGGGAACCCUGAUCCAGCCAUGCCGCGUGUGUGAAGAAGGCCUUAUGGUUGUAAAGCACUUUAAGCGAGGAGGAGGCUCUUUUGGUUAAUACCCAAGAUGAGUGGACGUUACUCGCAGAAUAAGCACCGGCUAACUCUGUGCCAGCAGCCGCCGCGA